UACAAAUGAUCUGGGAAAAGGAUGUUUGU
rnacentral:piRNA from 1 species